GUGUCAGCAGCCGCGGUAAAACGUAGGUGGCGAGCGUUAUCCGGAUUCAUUGGGCGUAAAGAGCUUGUAGGUGGUCGCGUAAGUUGGACGUGAAAACUCCGGGCUUAACUUGGAGAGGCCGUUCAAUACUGCGUGGCUAGAGGAUGUCAGAGGGGAGUGGAAUUCCUGGUGUAGCAGUGAAAUGCGUAGAUAUCAGGAGGAACACCCGUGGCGAAGGCGGCUCCCUGGGGCAUCCCUGACACUGAGAAGCGAAAGCUAGGGGAGCGAACGGGAUUAGAAACCCCAGUAGUCC
rnacentral:rRNA from 1 species